UCUGUUGUCAACUCUAGUAGCUAAGGUAAUCACUUCUUCUAAUGUGGGGGGUUCAUCCAUCAGGGCUAACUCAUCCUUUAAGGCAUUGUCUAAGGCGUGGAAAAAGGUAGUCUUUAAUGCUUCAUUAUUCCAACCAGAGGCAACAUCCAGGGUACGAAAUUCGAUAGAAAACUCAUUGAGUGGCCUAUUACGUUGUUUUAGUGCUCUCAACUGUCGGCCAAUACUUGACUUAUCUUCUACAGGGAAAAAGUCUGUUUAAAUUCUUUGACAAAAUCCACAGAAGAACAACCAAAAUUUCUGCAAUCAGAGAAACGGGCUUCAGGCCACUGCAAAGCCUUGCCAGACAAUAAACCAAUAGAGAUUUUCACAUCAUCAUGGGGAAAAGAUCGGGGAGAACGGUUGAAUACUAAGUUACACUGGAGCAAAACUCCUUUACAAUUACCCACCUCACCAGAAAACUUGGUUAGGGGAGGUGACGUCACAAAAAUGGGGAAGUUGUUGUGAUUCCGGCGAUGCGGCAGCACUAUCUACCUGUACGGUGGACUGAGACUUUAGAGUUUGCUGCAACAUGGCGGUAAUCUGUUCUAAUUGUUGAUUUGUUUGUCGUUGUUGCUCUGAAAGGGAACGGAGUGAAGAAUCAUGAAAUUGGAUCUGAUUAGCGCGUCCUGAGAGUGUUCUGCGGAGUGCUUCUGCUGGGUCUGGUUGGCGAGAGUGUUCUGUCACUGUUUGCGGAAUAGAUCUGACCCACAUACAGAAGUACACUCUGGAGAAUGAAAAUCGGUAAAAUAAUGUUUUAUUGUGUAACAAGUAAUCAGGAACAUGAACAAGUGAAUCUCUAACUGUAUGGAAGGAAGGGGAAGAGAACUGGUGAAACAAAGAACUUAAUGAGGCAAAACUAGAGAUAAAUUACUAAGUUGAAUAAGUGAACAACUUACUAAGUUUAUGCAGUCAGGUCGCCACGGAUUGAGGGAUUCGGGGUCUCGGUUUUCGGACCAGUGUCCGUUCUGAUGUAUCCUCUGGUGCUGUUUGAGGUAGACUGGAAAAAACCAUGUAGUAAUCCAAGAUGUAGUGGCUUACGUGAGAGGGUGGACAGGGUACGCUUAAUGUCUUGAUGCAGGAAAUGAAGGAAUCAGGUAGGCUGCCAGCCAGAGCAAAAUCCAGUUGAAGUCAGCAAUUCAGGAAACAAAGUCCUCAAAAACGUAGGAAGUCUUAGCCCACAGAGCUUCUGACACUGAGGUCUAAGUUCAGAAGGCGCGGCAAGCGAAGCGGGAGUGAAGCGGGAGUGGAGCGGCGCGACGGACGAGUUGAUAAAUCUGAACUUUUUCCUAAACUCGCGUCGCAUCAACCAAUCAGGGACUGGAUGUGGCUGUGACAUAGGGUGAAAGACCGCAGCGGAGAAGAAGCGGUUGUCCGUGAAAGAUGGAGGACAAAAUUAUAGUGGCGGUGCGCGGCAAGCCUGAGUUGUAUGACUCAACUAAUUAUUACUACAGAGACAAGUACAGGAAGGACCUGGCCUGGAGAAGAGUCAGUGAGGAGACUGGAGUAGCAGGUAAAACUUUAAAAUAGCGCCAUUGUACUACUGUCUUUUGGCUAAUUUAUAUCGGCAAGUCACUUGCGAAUGUGAAGCUGUACCCUGUCUGUCGUUGGGCUAAUUUUUAAAAGGGGGAUAUAUUCUCUAUAACUUUUAAAAGUAAAACUCAUAAAAGCAUAAGAUUUGUUUAGAUGUAUUCUUAAGACAAUAUCACGAUUCAUCCGUGAAAUGGCAACCGCAGACAGGCUACAACUGCACUUCACCGCCCCCAAAAAAUAGAGGGAAAACCUGCUUGUCGCCGAUUGCCUCUUUCUGGAAUACACAAAUAUUCAUGUGACUUCAUCUCACAAAAAAACCCUAUAUUUUCAGAGGACGUGUGCCGAAAAAAGUGGAAGGGUUUGCGGGACACGUACCUGAAGGAGAGAAGGAAGGAGCUGGAGAAGAGGAGGAGUGGAGCAGCAGCAGGUGCGGGAAAAAAGUUCAGGUUCUCUGCCGUCCUCUCAUUCCUCGACCCCUUUGUGGCUCCACGGCCCACCACCAGCAACAUGGGCCAAGUCGAGGAGAUGGCAGAGGACCUACCUGCUCCACCCCCAGAAGAGGAGACAUCGGAGACAUAAGACACAAAUGGUGAUGACACAGAGGAGAGGUCCACUCCAUCCGAAGCACCUGCUGCCUCAUCUGUCUCCGACUCUGCUCCUUCAUCCUCUGCUGCUGCCCAACCUCCCGUAGGAAGGAGGAGGAGGAGGACAGUGCGACCCCGGGAGGAGCCAUCUGAGGUGGAACGGGAGCUUCUGGAAGCUCUCCGAAACCGGCCACCACCUCCACCCCCGCGGGUCUACUCCUCCAUGGAACACUUCCUCCUGGGUUUAGCUCCAUCCCUGGAAAGACUGCAACUAGAUAAACAGGAAUUAAUAAAGCUGAAAUUAUUGCAAAUGAUUUUUGAAGAUAGCACAGUUGUGCUAAAU